UACCUAGUUGUGGAAGGAAGAAUAGAAAUUGUAAUAAAAAAAUCCUAAUUCUAAUAGAAUACUAACAAUGCUCUAAUUAGACCAUAAUAAUGCUAAAAAAUCUUAAUAAAAUUAAAAAAAACCUCAAAGAAAUUUCAAACAAACAAUAAGAGUUCUUAAAGAAAUAUUAGAAGGAUCACAAAUAUCACUCAAAUACAUCUCAAUUCAAUCUUAAUUUAAUUCUAGUUAAAAUCUUAUUGAACUUCAUUCAAACUUUAGACCAAAACUAAUUGAAUCUUAAAUCCUAAUAAAAUCCUAAAUCCUAAAUCAAACCCUAAACAAACCUUAAACCAAACCCCAACUAAAUCCUAAACCAAAUCCUAACCAAAUCCUAAACCAAACUCUAAACCCUAAAUCAAAUCCUAAAUCAAAUCCUAAAUCAAAUCCUAAACAAAUCUUAAUCAAAAUCCUUAACCCUAAACCAAAUCCUAAUCCAAAUCUUAAACCCUAAACCAAAUCAUAAUCCAAAUCUUAAACCCUAAACCAAAUCCUAACUAAAUCUUAAAUCCUAAAUCAAAUCCUAACCAAAUCUUAAAUCCUAAACCAAACCCUAACUAAAUCCUGAAUCAUAAUUCAAAUCCUAACCAAAUCCUAAACCCUAAAUCCUAAAUCAAACCCUAAUCUAAACCCUAAAUCCUAAACCAAAUCCUAACCAAAUCCUAACCAAAUCCU
rnacentral:lncRNA from 1 species